AAGGGCUGCAAGCCGCAAGGUUUAGCCAAUCCCAUAAAUCUGUUCUCAGUUCGGAUCGCAGUCUGCAACUUGACUGCGUGAAGCUGGAAUCGCUAGUAAUCGCGGAUCAGCAUGCCGCGGUGAAUACGUUCCCGGGCCUUGUACACACCGCCCGUCACACCACGAGAGUUUGCAACACCCGAAGUCGGUGAGGUAACCUUUAUGGAGCCAGCCGCCGAAGGUGGGGCAGAUGAUGGGGGU
rnacentral:rRNA from 1 species